rnacentral:rRNA from 1 species
AGAGUUUGAUCCUGGCUCAGAUUGAACGCUGGCGGCAUGCCUUACACAUGCAAGUCGAACGGCAGCGCGGGGCAACCUGGCGGCGAGUGGCGAACGGGUGAGUAAUAUAUCGGAACGUGCCCUGGAGUGGGGGAUAACGCAGCGAAAGUUGCGCUAAUACCGCAUACGAUCUAAGGAUGAAAGCGGGGGAUUCGCAAGAACCUCGUGCUCCUGGAGCGGCCGAUAUCUGAUUAGCUAGUUGGUGGGGUAAAGGCCUACCAAGGCAUCGAUCAGUAGCUGGUCUGAGAGGACGACCAGCCACACUGGAACUGAGACACGGUCCAGACUCCUACGGGAGGCAGCAGUGGGGAAUUUUGGACAAUGGGCGAAAGCCUGAUCCAGCAAUGCCGCGUGAGUGAAGAAGGCCUUCGGGUUGUAAAGCUCUUUUGUCAGGGAAGAAACGGUGUGGGCUAAUAUCCUGCACUAAUGACGGUACCUGAAGAAUAAGCACCGGCUAACUACGUGCCAGCAGCCGCGGUAAUACGUAGGGUGCAAGCGUUAAUCGGAAUUACUGGGCGUAAAGCGUGCGCAGGCGGUUUUGUAAGUUUGUCGUGAAAGCCCCGGGCUCAACCUGGGAAUUGCGAUGAAGACUGCAAGGCUUGAAUCUGGCAGAGGGGGGUAGAAUUCCACGUAGCAGUGAAAUGCGUAGAGAUGUGGAGGAACACCGAUGGCGAAGGCAGCCCCCUGGGUCAAGAUUGACGCUCAUGCACGAAAGCGUGGGGAGCAAACAGGAUUAGAUACCCUAGUAGUCC